rnacentral:rRNA from 1 species
CAAUAGCGUAUAUUAAAGUUGUUGCAGUUAAAAAGCUCGUAGUUGGAUUUCUGGGAGGGUGCCGCCGUCCGGCGUGUCCGUGUGCAGUGGCGCCCUUCCAUCCUUCUGUUAGCGCCUCUUGGCAUUCAUUUGCUGGUGGCGGGCUCAGAUAUUUUACCUUGAGAAAAUUAGAGUGUUUCAGGCAGGCUAGGCCGGAAUACAUUAGCAUGGAAUAAUGGAAUAGGACUACGGUCUCUUUGUUGGUUUGAGGGACUGCAGUAAUGAUUAAUAGGGAUAGUUGGGGGUAUUAGUAUUUAAUUGUCAGAGGUGGAAUUCUCAGAUUUGUUAAAGACUAACUUAUGCGAAAGCAUUUGCCAAGGAUGUUUUCAUUA